UUUUUUUUUUGCUAAAGCUGUAAAUAUCAUAUAAAUGAAAGUUUCAGUUAUACAGCAGUACAUCUGAGGCUUAAGCUACCAAGGCAAAAAAAAGUAAAAACAAGGUAGCAGAAACGAUCAAUGACGUACAUACAAAGAGCAUGAAGUCACUAUAACCAGAGGGACAUGAGUCCCCUGAAGUUCUUUCUCAGGCGUCUAGCUGAGAUGGCGUUGCGGAUCUCCUUGUCGAUGAGCUUGAACACCGAAUGGACUGAGAUAGAGAUGGUGUUAUGGAGGACACGUACGUACAGUUAUAGCAAUUGUUAUGUUACAAAAAGUAAAUAGAAAUUAACAUUCUAUAAAACUUCAAUCUUAGCAGAGAUAAAAGAGCAUGGUAUUUAGUUGUUCUUGCGUUGUAUGGAUUUGUGACGCUCUCCUUAAAUUCUUAAACGAACUCUCUAAAAACAUUGGUUUUUAAACUAGUUACCUCCCGUGCCAAGCACGGGUCAAUUAAUUUCACUAUCAUCCUAUUUUUAACUAAAAUUAUAUUUUUGUUUGCAGAAAUCAUAAAAUUGUAAAGCUUAUCAAUAUAUCAGAAUAAAUUAUUUAUUUUUUUCACAUAUUUUCUAAACCUAAAUAACACAUCGGAAUAUAAAAUUCAUUGUAUAAAGUUAUAAAUUUCAUAGAACAUGUUUAAUCUAUAAAUGUAUGUAAAUCUAUUAAAUGAAUAUUUACCUGCUUUUCAUAUCUGAAUUAUAUAUCUGCAAAAAAAAUUAUAGCUUGAUUGGAAAAGUUAAUAAACUUUAAAUAAUAUAUACAUAAAAUACUUAGUAAAUAGAAAUCAAUAGCAAGCUGAUUUUUUCUAUUUCCCUUUCAAUUUUUUUUAUCAUGUUUUACCACAAAAGAUUUUUCAAAAAGGUUGAAUUUCAUUGCCUUGCUAUAUACAAGAGUUUCAUCUAUUUAAACAGUUUGGAUAUCAUAAUUAUAAAUGAAAAUGUGUUUACCUUUUUCCAGAAGAAUAUAGCUUUUAAUAUUAAGAAUAACUUCAUGUCUCUGAUAGUAGUACUUUACGAAACAAAACCCAGAUUUUCCAUUAUGCUGUGAACAAUAAAGUUAUAAAAUAGAAGUAUAAUCUGAGAAAACCUUGAACUUGACUUAUGCAGAAGGAAUGAUAUAGAGUUAUUUUCAGAAUAAGAGAAGAAGCUGUUAGAAUAAAGAUCUUUGCUAUACUCAAAAAAAUAAAACGACAAAGAAAAUGGAACGAUAGAGAAGAAGAGGAGAGUAUAAUUACAGAAAAUUAAAUGCUGAGACUCAAAAGAACUCGUUACGUGGUAACAACGACUCCUCUGCAAAAAAAAAACUAAAAGAAUUCAAAAUUGCAUAACGAAUAAAUGCUGAGA